CAGUGAUUCCAUGUAGACAGUUGUGCAACUGUCAGAAUCCCUGGGAGUUCCCUGAAAGCUUCGGGGAUUUCAGGCGACUUCAGACGCCUCAAAGUCAAACAAAACCAAAAAUGUCCCCUUCAGGAAGUCAGGCCAUGUUCUGUCCUUCCGUUUUCCUUCUUACUAGGGAACUUGGGGAGGGAGGCUGGGCGGCAGCAGUUAAACAACUCACCCAAUGGGAAAACCAGCACGCUCUGGGACCACCUCUGAAGUGAUCUCACACCCUGACCACACACUCUAAACUCACUGUCAUAAUCCUUCCCCUUGGUCAAAAAUAAAAGCAGCACACCCACUCUGCUGGGAGUGAGUCACAAACAGAAAAAAGUCAAUGGGUCUGAGCCAAGAGGAUCUACUAACAAGGGGAAAGAUCUCCCAGUGGAGGUGUUUCAGCGGAUGCUGCGGUCUUACCCUUGUAGCCUGGAUGACCAGACAGAUCAAAAAAAAUGUUAAAGUCCAGGCAUCUGACACUA
ensembl:lncRNA novel transcript